rnacentral:rRNA from 1 species
UGACGAACGCUGGCGGCGUGCCUAACACAUGCAAGUCGAGCGAUGAAAUUUUCUUCGGAAAAUGGAUUAGCGGCGGACGGGUGAGUAACACGUGAGUAACCUGCCUCAAAGAGGGGGAUAGCCUUCCGAAAGGGAGAUUAAUACCGCAUAAUAUCAGAUGAUCGCAUGGUCGACUGAUUAAAGGAGCAAUCCGCUUUGAGAUGGACUCGCGGCGCAUUAGCUAGUUGGUAAGGUAACGGCUUACCAAGGCGACGAUGCGUAGCCGACCUGAGAGGGUGAUCGGCCACAUUGGGACUGAGACACGGCCCAGACUCCUACGGGAGGCAGCAGUGGGGAAUAUUGCGCAAUGGACGAAAGUCUGACGCAGCAACGCCGCGUGGGUGAUGAAGGUCUUCGGAUUGUAAAGCCCUGUCUUCGAGGACGAUAAUGACCGGUACUCGAGGAGGAAGCCACGGCUAACUACGUGCCAGCAGCCGCGGUAAU